UACGUAGGGUGCGAGCGUUAAUCGGAAUUACUGGGCGUAAAGCGUGCGCAGGCGGUUCUCCAAGUCCGUUGUGAAAGCCCCGGGCUCAACCUGGGAAUGGCAGUGGAAACUAGGGGACUGGAGUCUGGGAGAGGGUAGUGGAAUUCCUGGUGUAGCGGUGAAAUGCGUAGAUAUCAGGAGGAACACCGGUGGCGAAGGCAGCUCGCUGGGACGUGACUGACGCUGAGACGCGAAAGCGUGGGGAGCAAACAGG
rnacentral:rRNA from 1 species